AAGGAGAAGUCGUAACAAGGUUUCCGUAGGUGAACCUGCGGAAGGAUCAUUGCCGUCUCUAGAACCACCACCGGCGAACCACAGUCCCCGCGGAAAGGCCGCUCGCGGCGCGCGGACCCGGGGAGGACCCGGGGACGCGCGUCCCGGCGAGCUCCGAACAACCCUCUGGGCGCGGCGAGCGCCAAGGAAUCGAAGCGGAAAGGGCGGCCGCCUCGCCCGGCGCGGGCACGCCCCGAAAGGGGAUGCGGCGCCGCGGCGGGGGAUCCGCCGCCCGUCUGUGAAUCUCUGAGACGACUCUCGGCAACGGAUAUCUCGGCUCUCGCAUCGAUGAAGAACGUAGCGAAAUGCGAUACUUGGUGUGAAUUGCAGAAUCCCGUGAACCAUCGAGUCUUUGAACGCAAGUUGCGCCCGAGGCCGCUCGGCCGAGGGCACGCCUGCCUGGGCGUCACGCCACCCAUCGCCCCCCCCGCGGCAUUCCCAUGCACGGCCGGGGAGCGGAGACUGGCCGUCCGUGCCCGAGCCCUCGGCGCGCGGUCGGCAGAAAAGGAGGGCACCGUGCGGCGCGACACGGCGUGUGGGGGUUGAGAGGCGAUUCGUCGCCGACCGUACGUCGCGCCCGCAUUCCGCCGCGCGGCCUCGCCCGUGGGACCGGACUUCGCCCGCAGCCGCGGGCGCUCGGACCGCGACCCCAGGUCAGGCGUGGCCACCCGCUGAAUUUAAGCAUAUCAAUAAGCGGAGGAGAAGAAACUUACGAGGAUUCCCC
rnacentral:rRNA from 1 species